rnacentral:rRNA from 1 species
AAAGUUAUUUUUUUUUGGAGAGUUUGAUCCUGGCUCAGGAUGAACGCUGGCGGCAUGCCUAAGACAUGCAAGUCGAACGAAGUGGCCCAUUGAAGAAUGCGUGCUUGCACAAUUUCGGAUUUGGAUUCCCA